AAGCAGAGGACGCAAUCCCAAAGAUCAGGCAAUGCCUUAGAAAAGCGUCUCUGUGUGUCCCAAAAACCACUAUCUGGACAAGGGAGUUCUUCAGUUUGACACACAAUUAAUCCAGACUGUGAGUGCCUGGACCUCGAUCUGCCUCCGCCCGCUCUGAGUGUCUGGGCUCCUCUGAAACAACUCUCAGUGCAGAGGUCACAAACUGGUCGGCCGCAGACGGGUUUGGUUAGGACCACACAUUGUCGGUCCACAAAAUACUUAAAAAAUUUCAGAUUAGUUGCCAACGUUUAAAAGGUUGGGAGAUUUUGCAUAAAAGAUCUGGAUUUCUGCCUUCCUUGGAAUCGGAAGCUCUCUGGCAGCGCUGAGCCCGCAUCCCCACGUGGCAACGAUAGACUAGAGCCGCGCAGCAGCUGCCCCUUCAGACGAGGCGCGCGUCCCCCGGGUUGUGUUCCAUGGGCCUCUCCGGACUGUUCUGCACAGUCUCUGUGAGUUCUGACAAAUGAAUACAGUCAUGUAACCCACCACAAUCAAGAUUUCGAACACUUCUGUCACCCCAGAGAGCUCCCACCAGCUCCUGUGUAGUCAGCACCCUGCCCCACACUAAGAUCUCGGAGACUGCUGAUCUUUUACCUAUCACUGAAGAUUUGCCUUUCUACGUUUCUGAAGGGCACAGCCCAGCUGGUUCUCGCGACCUCUCACCCGGCUGCCAUCAAGGCGUCAGCCUGGACUGUGGUCAUCCUAAGGCUCGACUGCGUGUGGAUCCACUUCUGAGCUCCCUCGAGAGGCUGAGGCAGGACUCAGAUCACUGUGGGCCGUUGGAGUGAGCGCCUCGGUUCCCCGCGUGCUGUUGACCGGAGGCCACCCAGAGCUCCUUGUCACACGUGCUCGGAGGACUGGAACUGCUGUGGCAGAACUGAGCACCGCACGCAGCCCCGGUGCAGCCAGCUGGGCAGCUCUGGACUCAGACGCCCUCCACGCCAGGACUCAGAAGCCAUGUCUAAACAGUCAUCAACGGUCCACAAAUAUUGCAAAAUUAUGCAAGCAGUUCUUCAAAGAGAACAUAUAAAAGUUAAAAUAAUAUGAUGAUAAUCACAAAUAACAAUAACCUGAUCUAAAGUAAAAUGACAAGUGACAGUGAAUACCAGUGCUUGAGUCAGUCCCAGAUUUGUAAAGAAUAAAGGCGUGAACUCCUGGGUGGCCUUCACAGCACCGACGGAUACAUUGAUCCAAACUGAUACAAUGUGUGAACACACCAUUCAAUUCAAGAAAUUAGAAAAAGAAUGAAACAAAAAAACCAAAGAAGGAAAAAGAAGAUUUUAUUAAAGAUAACAGCAGAAAUUAAUCAAUUAGAAAAAAGAACAAACUGAUAACCAGAGGCAGAAAGAGCAGAAGUGAAGGAUGAAAGCGCCUCGGGAACUCCUGGCUCUGCGAGGAGGAGCUGGUUUCACAGAUGUAGAAACUGAAGGCCAGAGAGGGGCAGGACCACACAGCUGUUCCUAAAAGAAGGCAGGGCUGGCUGCACACCGUCUGUAAUAGGAGGCAGCGACAGAAUCAGAGAAACGCUGAGAAGAUGCGAGAGCCAGCUUGUAAAGGAAGGGAGCCGCUGGCUGAAGUGCUCCGCUUGAGGCGAACACAAGUCCGGGAACACUGGCGCAGACGCUGGGGCAGGCGCAGCCGUAGGAGCAGAGCGAGGACCCCAGGCCAGAGACAAGGAGCCUGUGCCUCAUGGAGUCCUUGGCCUGGGGGAUCGAGGCUUUCUGCAGCCCCUUCCUACCUAGGUGGUGAGAAGGCCCCGCUGCAGAAGAACCAGCUCUCUUGACCCACAGCCAGGCUGGCAAGCCCGGCGCACAGGCCCCAUAGAGCUUCUGGGAGACCCAGCCCCAGACUUGCCCUCUGACCUCUAGGGCAGAAAGCCCUCUGAAUGUGUCCCUGGCUUCGCAGUCCACCCUUCACCCCCAAACCCCUUUAGUGACUAUGUACCUCUCCCCCUGGGUCCCCGUGACACCGGGGCCCUCAGGUGGAGCUGGCUGUCUGGAUGGGAACUCUCCAGCGCUGGGACAUCUCUGAAUUGCUAGAAGAGUCUGACCACUGAAAUGGCUGCUGAUCUCCUGGGGAAACCAUCACAAAACUCUGCGACAGCUGCGUGUUGGUGAGAUUCAUCCGUGUCGUCCCCUGGAGAUGCGUCUGCGUGUUUUCAUUGCUGUGUAGAAUUCCAUGGUGGGAAUACACCAGGGCACGUUUUUAAAUCCAUUCCUCUGUGGGUGGCUCAGUGAGUAGUUUCCCGUUUCAGCAUGUUACUAACAUUGCUGCUGUGUGAGUGAAUUUCUGUGGGGUACCUGGGGGUGGAAUUGCCGUGUAUUCAGCUUUAGAAGAUAAUGCCAAGGAGGUGUCUACCCUGGAACGAGCAAUUUACUCGCUCACAGACGACCCAUGAGAGCCUGUGGCUCAGGAUCCUCACCACACACGGCACCAUGGGACUUCAGCAGUUUCGCCAAUGUGUUGACGGUGGUUUUAAUGGUUGUUUCUCUCAUGAUGGAAUGACAGAGCUCUUUCCUAUGACUCUGGCCAUUAGGAGUUACUCUCAUGUGAAGUGAGUGUUCAAGUAUUUUGGCAGUUUUUCUAAUUGAUUGGAAUGGGUUCUUUACACGUUUUACAGACUAGUCCUUUGUGUUGUGUGUGUCACAUUCUGUUCCUCAUAUUUUCAUUCUUUAUGGUAUCUUUUAAUUAAUUAUCUUUAAAAAAUAUAUUUAUAAUGAAACUUUUACUCCUCAAGAAAUAAACAAUUUGUUCUUUCAUUUUGAGAGACUAGAAUAAGUGAUUGGGAGGAAAGAGAUUAGAGAGGAUUACACAUUCCAUCCCUUCUUUUUCUGUGAUGUUUGAGUCUUUAUAAUGAUCACAUAUUCCUUCAUUCAACAGACUUUUAUUCCUCACUGAAAAUGUGCCCAGAACUUCUGUGGGUCCUGAGGAUCCAUCACUGAACAAAGGAGGCAAGUCUCCUGCCCGAUGGAAUUUACAAGGUGGGAUCCAAUAUUGCUCUUAUUUUAAAAAGGGAUCUAAAAGGCUCUUGUUUAGCUUCUAUCAGACUUUCAUUUUGAGCUUUCGCAUACCUAUAUAGAAAAACAACAUGGCACAGAGCUCAGAGCAAACAUUUAAGAAGAUAAGCAAAACCUUUUUGCCAAUAUUAUGUAAAUUAUUAGCAAAUUUCCUGUUGAUAAACAUUUAAAUUAUUUCUUUGUAAGAUCUGAGCACCAAUAAGAACAAAAGUUUCCUUCCAGCUCUAAAUUUCCAUAAUUCUUUGCUUUGUCCCCAUUUCUCGAUGCCUGGGACAGUGAGGGUGUGAAAGAGAACAUUUUACGGCACAAAGAUGCAGGUGUGGUCUAAUUCCAUUACGUGGAAUCUGGAAUCCACUCCUAACACAAUCUUCAUGAUGUCAUGUGGGGACCGUGCUGUGAGCAGAGUUCUGCUCCUUUUUGGAGAAAUGGGUUGAGGGUACCGUCAUUGCUACGAUGAGUCUCCUUUAGGGGUAGUUUCACAGUGUCUAUUUCCCUCUUUUCUGCCCUUUCCUGGAUCCCGCUUUUUCUCUGGAUUAUCAAGACGGUAUGCAGAAUCUCAACACUUGUUUCACGAAGCCUGUUAAGUAAUUUGAACAAAGGUAUCUGAAUAGGACACACCGUUCCUCUUGUUGGUGUUUACAAAAGAACUCGAGAUUAAAAAAUUCUGUCGUGUGCACUUGAUUUUCCAGGUAGAACUGUAUCAGGAAUCAUGUGGGGACACUUAAACUGAUUGAGACUUUUCAAGUUUCUCCUGCCCCAAUUUGUCUGGAAGAAAUCCAGUCUGCGCUAUCUCAAAAAUUCACCAGGGAAAACAGCUGACAUAAAUUGUGCUGAUUUUAAACUGGAAGAAGAAGUGGUAGCAGAGUAAAGCUCUGUAAACCAUACCCGACUGGGCUCAUUACCAAGCUCCUCUCACCACGCGGUACCAGCAGAAUUUGAAAAAUGCCUUCCAGAGUUGAGACCUGCCACCUAGCAACCACUUUGAAAUGCUUCCUGCGCUGGCCCAGGAUGCUCAGAAUGCCCCCUUUUGGACUUGGUGGGGUGUUUUGCUGUGCAUGGGCCACCAUCAUUGAAAGGAGGACUAGAACUUUGUUUUCUGGGCAAAGACAUGCAGAUUAGAAGGAUUGUUUAACUAAACUGUUCAGCUUGUUUUGGAAUACGGUUGGCCUAUUAAAUACAGAUUAAAGAUUGCAUCAGACAUACUAUACUAAAAAUUUAUUUGUUGUUUAUCUGAAAUUCACAUUUAAUUGGGCAUCCUGUAUUUUUAUUUGUUAAAUCUGGCAACCCUAUUUUGGAGAGACUUUUGUAGUGCAAACCAGAGGAAUAUUUAUAAGAUAUGCAUCACACAUAUUAACUUGACCCCCCCCCCCCAAAGCUGCUGAUUAUAUGGAUCUAAAACACCUUUCCCGGGGCACUGCUAUUGGUCCUACAAGGGAGCCUGAGCAUGGGGACCACAGCUGCAGGUAGGGCAGGCGCUCACAGAAGGGGACGAGAAACCACCCCAGGGUUGCACCCGGGAAAGCUAACUAGCUGACGGGCAAAGCAAGGGUCUGAGCGUGCAGGGGCCACACGCUGCCCAGAUAUCUGAGAGGAAGUGGAAGUGGGCUGACAUCAACAGUCAUUUUACUUUUAAGGGGGUCGGUGUGAAGCCCUCUACACAAAUGUGCACUGCAAAGGUUGGACUGAAGUGGGAGGGGAGGACCGUGGGACCCACGAAAGGGCACCGCGGCCCCAUGCAGCAGCCACCAAUCCUGGGCCGCCUGCACCAGCCUGGAGAGCCCGCCCGCAGCCCUUCCCGCUUCACCUGCCCGGUUCUGAGCUUGGGAGAGGCUGCCACUUGGUCUUCAAUCCGAUCACAGCCCCUCAUUCCCAGUCUGCAGCCCCUGCUUGUUAACCUAACCCAGCAGCACAAAAUACCUAAAACAUAGAAUGCACACGUAAUCCUCUGUGUUCGCAGCACAUGAUGACACAUCUGGAGGACACACGAGACCCUCUCACUGUGGCCACACGGGCAGAGUACUAGAGGGGGCGGGCCCCGAGGGCAGGGAGGCGCACCUGUACCCACUGAUUUAUUUUACUACGUGUGUG